rnacentral:rRNA from 1 species
UACGUAGGGUGCGAGCGUUGUCCGGAAUUAUUGGGCGUAAAGGGCUCGUAGGCGGUUUGUCGCGUCGGGAGUGAAAACACCGGGCUUAACUCGGUGCUUGCUUUCGAUACGGGCAGACUAGAGGCAUGCAGGGGAGAACGGAAUUCCUGGUGUAGCGGUGAAAUGCGCAGAUAUCAGGAGGAACACCGGUGGCGAAGGCGGUUCUCUGGGCAUUACCUGACGCUGAGGAGCGAAAGUGUGGGGAGCGAACGGG